rnacentral:tRNA from 1 species
GCCUAGGUGGCUCAGUCGGUUGGGCAUCCGACUUCAGCUCAGGUCGUGAUCUCAUGGUUCGUGGGUUCCAGCCCGCCUCGGGCU